rnacentral:misc_RNA from 1 species
GAUUCAGUUACUCUAGAAACACUGAAAGAUUUUCAUAGGAGAAGAGUGCAAAUUCUGGCCAAUGCUGGUGCUGACUUAAUCGCGUUUGAAACGAUUCCGAACAAGUUGGAAGCUCAAGCAUAUGCUGAGCUUCUUGAUGAAGAGGGCAUUGAAAUUCCAGCUUGGUUUUCUUUCAACUCCAAGGAUGGAAUCAAUGUGGUCAGUGGGGAUUCUAUAUCUGACUGUGCCUCCAUUGCAGAUGCUUCAAAGCAAGUUGUUGCUGUAGGAAUCAACUGUACACCUCCCAGAUAUAUUCAUGGACUAAUCUCGGCAAUUCAGGAGGUCACUAGCAAACCAAUUAUGAUUUAUCCAAACAGUGGGGAGACUUAUGAUGGUGUGACCAAACAGUGGUUGAAAUCUGAUGGAAUGAUAG